UAGAUGCAUUGGCCGGGACUGCCAAUCGAGACCUCGCGCAGUACAGACUUUUGUAGUUACUAGUUGCAACAAUUUUUUAUCGUUUUUCAAAAGAUUUAUUAAAUAAAUUAUGAAUAUUAAAUUAGUAUUAUAGAUUUUAAAUCACCUAUAACUUAUUAGCAUUUUUUAAAAAAUUAUUUUUCAUAAAUUAAUUCGACGUUUGGAAAGAACCACUGCGGCACUGCAUGAUGAACCUAAAAGAAUACGAUUUGAAGAUCCAUGAAGUUAAUAUAAUCCUGAAGCAGAUUAUUGAUCAGAUUCAAUUCAAAUUGAAGACCACGAUGGCAAUGAGAAUAUUGAUGAUGGUGGAAAUACUACGCCUACACAAAUCACACCUACAAGACGUGUACAGGCGAACGUGACACUACUGUUGUGUACAUGGUUCGACGUAAAUGAUUUAAAUCUUUAGAGAAAUCGGUCAAUAAAUUGAUGUUAAACAUGGCCAUUAGUGAUUUCAUUUUGCUAUCAAACAUGAUUUUGGUUGUAUAUAACAGUUAUUAACAAGGUCCAACACUUGGAAAUUUAGGUUAGUGAGGUACAAAGGAAAAUAAGUGUUUAUAACAACAUGAUAUACCUACAUUACCUAAUUUCCGAGUUACGUUACUUUGGGCUGUCAGCUGGAUGGAUUCAUUGGUACCCUUGACAGAACCGUGUCCAUCAUGACAUCAACUGCCAUAUCGUUGGAUCGAUAUAAUUUAUAUUACGGCCUUUGAAAUUGCUAAGAAAAAAAACCAAACAUAGGGCCAGGAUCUGGAUCGGCGUGAUAUGGAUAUGUAGAUUAGUUUUUUCAAUCAUACCAUUGUUAGAUUUUAUUAAGGAUUCACGCCGAUUGGCUUUUUAAUAAAUUGCACUAUCGACUUUUAGUCAAACAAUAUUGUAGAUAAAUAGAUUAUGAUGAUUCUAUAUCAUAGGUGCAUGGAUAUUACCAUCAGUUAUGGUAUUACACUGCUAUAUUAAAAUGUUGAUAGCUGUUUACGCUAACUCUAAAGCAACUGACAGGAGGAUUGGGCAGAGUUCAACAAAGAAGAGGAACAAAUUAAACUAGUGCAAUAGUACUAUGUAUAUUACUCCCAACUAACAAAUAGCUACGAAACCAGAUAAGAUUGAAACGCCAUAGGAAGGGAAUUUGCCAUGGAAGCAACCACGGGUCAAUAAAACCAAAACGUUUAACAAUUCAGGACCGAAAUAUUUCAAUUGCAAUGUCUACAGACACAUCAACCACGACUGUCCGAAACCAAGAAGGCCGUUAAAAUAUUUAAAUUGCGGGGCCGAUGGUCACACCCGAGAGAAGUGCACUGUGGACAACGAAGCCACACCUCAAGUGAUUUACAGGGGCUUAUAUUGACACCGGCCGCUCAGUGUGUUUGAUCCUUGGCAGUUUGCAGAGCGAAGCAGCAUCGUUUGGGAACGACCAGAUUACUGGUGAGGACAUCCGACCCACUACUGCAAGUAAGCUGGAACCAAUCGUUGAGAAUGAGGUACACGUUGUCAAAAGCAUAGGACUCAAUGAACGGCAACAAUUAAUGCAGCUACUUAACGAAUCUAAGAGUUUGAGGGAGCUUGACUGCACUAACUUGAUUAAAGUAGAUCUAACAGAGAACGCGGAUGGUAACCUUACCGGUAACCUGCUAUCCAUAUAAGACAUCUCCCAACGAUCGUCAGUGUAUAUCAACAAUUAUGAAGGGAUGGUGAGAAAGUGGCAUCAUCACAGGCGAAACACGUUUGUGUGUUGAUUACCGUAAACUAGUAGUAAGUAGGGCACGUUCACCACACACGCCCACAAUUUAUUUUGCAUCAUAAUAAUAUCUGUUAAAUAAAAAAAAUCUAAACUUAUAUUUUACCUGGAAAACAUUACAAAAAAUCUAAACUUAUCUGUUAAAUCGGUAGUUAAAAUAGUCAAUUUUGAAUUAACUAAAAAUAUAUUGUUUUUAAAAAUAAAAAAAAAUAAUAAAAUCAUGACCGGAAAAACCGGUCAAAAAAUUCAUUUUGUAGAGUUUUUAAAUAAACAUAAAUAUCGUAGCCGGAAAAACAGACCACGAUUUUAGAUAUCAAAAAGUAUUUUUAGAGUUUUUAAAUGAACAUAACAUGGCAUAUGAACAAAUAAAAUUAUUAUAAUAUCUAUUAAACUAUCAUAAUAUCUGUCAAAGAUCAGACUAGUGAUAUUUUAAACAGUUAAAAACCGCCUUAAUUUUUAUGGUCAAUUUGGAGGACUUUUUUUUGUAUUUUAUUUAAAUAUUAAAAUUCUAUAAAUUCUCAGUUAUUACUUAUUUUUAUAUUUUUAACAUGUGUGAAUUUCACACGCAUGUUAUUAUUAUCAAGAAUUUUAAUUGGAUUUCUUUUAUUUUGAUUUAUAUUUUUAGGAGGUAUGGUUAUGCCUCCUGAAAAACCAUAGUGUAUAAAAAAUUAAUUUUUAUGUUCAAUAUACAUCAUAAAAAAAUCAAAACUAUUAAACAUAUCUGUUUCUACUAUGAGCAUAAUCGCAAUAGAAUUUGAAAUUAGGUUGGGGAGAUUAUAAAGCCGGUAAUCGUAGCGCUUCGGACGAUUGGUAAUUUGCAUGUAAAUGUAAGUUGUCACGUGGUGCGGCCUACAUUAUCACCUUGAUUUCGAUCUACCUCAACACAGUUGACGUAUAUGAUCUCUUCACUGAACUUUAGAUUCUAUAAAUAGACCAAAGUCCCUGAUUGUGCCAUGCUACAGGGGGUAAAAAUAAUAAUAUCUGUGUUGUAUUUCCGGUCAUGAUUUUAUUAUUUAUAAAAACAAUAUAUUAUAAAAUUUAAUUUACAAUAAUAGUUUAAUAGAUAUUCUAAAUUUUCUACAAUUAUUUAUUUAAAACAACAUUUAAGGAUUUUUUAUUAUUACAAUUGCAUAUGGUGUAAAAUAAAGUGUAAAUAUUACUAUUGCACUAAUUUAAUUUGUCACUCUUCUUUGUUGAAGUUUGUCCAAUUCUACUGUCAUUUGCUUCAGAAAUAGCGUAGGUAUACAGCUAUUGAAAUUUUAAUAUAACACAAUACAAUACCAUAAUUUAUGGUAAUACCCAGGCACCUAAUAUAGAAUAUAAUCAUAAUGCAUUUAUCUAAAAUAUUGUCUGACUUAAAAUCGAUUGUGCAAUUUAUUAGAAAUCCCGUUGG